rnacentral:misc_RNA from 1 species
GAUGAAGAACGUAGCGAAAUGCGAUACGUAAUGUGAAUUGCAAAUUCAGUGAAUCAUCGAGUCUUUGAACGCACAUUGCGCCCCCUGGUAUUCCGGGGGGCAUGCCUGUCCGAGCGUCAUUGCUGCCCUCAAGCACGGCUUGUGUGUUGGGCCCCGUCCUCUGAUCCCGGGGGACGGGCCCGAAAGGCAGCGGCGGCACCGCGUCCGGUCCUCGAGCGUAUGGGGCUUUGUCACCCGCUCUGUAGGCCCGGCCGGCGCUUGCCGAUCAACCCAAAUUUUUUAUCCAGGUUGACCUCGGAUCAGGUAGGGAUACCCGCUGAACUUAAGCAUAUCAAUAAGCGGAGGA